UUCCGGUCGGCUUCGUCCUUCGUCCUCCAAGAGUCGAGCGGCGUUGUUUGGCCCUCGAAUUUACAAUCGAUCCCCCAACACUCUCUAAUUUCAGUGCCAGAAUUUUUCCCCUCUUUACGACGAAAAAAAACAAUCAAAUGCCGAGCGUUACCGUUGGCGUAUUUGAAUUGACGCCGUGCGCGCGCUCUUGAGAUUCCGAGAACCGUUAAAAGGCGCCGCGCGCCUGCUCAGGGAAGCUUUUGUCCUCCUCAAGCAAAAGCACUUUAAAUGCAAACUACCCCCCAGCCGCCUCCUCUCCAUCUCUGAGCAACGAUAGAGCGGACAAGGCAGGAGAGAAAGAUCUAUUCUCUGGUUCAGAUCCUCAAAUUGGCCCACCACUGCCCAUCUCAAACCCUGACCUCCCUAUCUAAUGGGUGGUAAAAUGAAUGCACUCACCUGCCCUCUGAUGUCAACGUUCGAUCUGGUGCCAGCGACUAGUAUUGCAAGGAUCCUGCUGACUAUGCCAAUUGUUGUGGUAAAAACAAUAAACCAACACUCUGAGUCUGUGAGCUUCAAGUCGGACUGGCAAUAUGACAUGUGCGAUACGACUCCAUAAUCCACUAAAUUUGUCGGUGUCCAAGAUAUUAUACUGCCCUGUCUUACCGGAGAUGGAAAAUUUCAUCACAAGGAAAUCAUAGACUGUCUCCUCCAGAAGACUAAAAUUUAAAUCUGGGUCCAAUUUUUCCUCAUCAAUUAAAACUGUGAUCA